UCACUCUGGGAUGGACCUGCGGUGCAUUAGCUAGUUGGUAAGGUAACGGCUUACCAAGGCGAUGAUGCAUAGCCGAGUUGAGAGACUGAUCGGCCACAAUGGAACUGAGACACGGUCCAUACUCCUACGGGAGGCAGCAGUAGGGAAUCUUCCACAAUGGGCGCAAGCCUGAUGGAGCAACACCGCGUGAGUGAAGAAGGGUUUCGGCUCGUAAAGCUCUGUUGUUGGAGAAGAACGUGCGUGAGAGUAACUGUUCACGCAGUGACGGUAUCCAACCAGAAAGUCACGGCUAACUACGUGCCAGCAGCCGCGGUAAUACGUAGGUGGCAAGCGUUAUCCGGAUUUAUUGGGCGUAAAGCGAGCGCAGGCGGUUGCUUAGGUCUGAUGUGAAAGCCUUCGGCUUAACCGAAGAAGUGCAUCGGAAACCGGGCGACUUGAGUGCAGAAGAGGACAGUGGAACUCCAUGUGUAGCGGUGGGAUGCGUAGAUAUAUGGAAGAACACCAGUGGCGAAGGCGGCUGUCUGGUCUGCAACUGACGCUGAGGCUCGAAAGCAUGGGUAGCGAACAGGAUUAGAUACCCUGGUAGUCCAUGCCGUAAACGAUGAGUGCUAGGUGUUGGAGGGUUUCCGCCCUUCA
rnacentral:rRNA from 1 species